AGAUUGAACGCUAGCGGGAUGCUUACACAUGCAAGUCGAACGGCAGCGCGGACUUCGGUCUGGCGGCGAGUGGCGAACGGGUGAGUAAUAUAUCGGAACGUGCCCAGUCGUGGGGGAUAACGCAGCGAAGGCUGUGCUAAUACCGCAUACGAUCUAUGGAUGAAAGCGGGGGAUCGCAAGACCUCGCGCGACUGGAGCGGCCGAUAUCAGAUUAGCUAGUUGGUGGGGUAAAAGCCUACCAAGGCGACGAUCUGUAGCUGGUCUGAGAGGACGACCAGCCACACUGGAACUGAGACACGGUCCAGACUCCUACGGGAGGCAGCAGUGGGGAAUUUUGGACAAUGGGCGCAAGCCUGAUCCAGCAAUGCCGCGUGCAGGAUGAAGGCCUUCGGUUGUAAACUGCUUCUGUACGGAACGAAACGGUCUCUCUAAUACAGGGCUAAUGACGGUACCGUAAGAAUAAGCACCGGCUAACUACGUGCCACG
rnacentral:rRNA from 1 species